rnacentral:rRNA from 1 species
AUUGAACGCUGGCGGCAGGCUUAACACAUGCAAGUCGAGCGGAUGAAGGGAGCUUGCUCCUGGAUUCAGCGGCGGACGGGUGAGUAAUGCCUAGGAAUCUGCCUGGCAGUGGGGGAUAACGUCCGGAAACGGGCGCUAAUACCGCAUACGUCCUGAGGGAGAAAGUGGGGGAUCUUCGGACCUCACGCUAUCAGAUGAGCCUAGGUCGGAUUAGCUAGUUGGUGGGGUAAAGGCCUACCAAGGCGACGAUCCGUAACUGGUCUGAGAGGAUGAUCAGUCACACUGGAACUGAGACACGGUCCAGACUCCUACGGGAGGCAGCAGUGGGGAAUAUUGGACAAUGGGCGAAAGCCUGAUCCAGCCAUGCCGCGUGUGUGAAGAAGGUCUUCGGAUUGUAAAGCACUUUUAGUUGGGAGGAAGGGCAGUAAGUUAAUACCUUGCUGUUUUGACGUUACCGACAGAAUAAGCACCGGCUAACUUCGUG